GUCCCCUUCGUCUAGCGGCCCAGGACACCGCCCUUUCAAGGCGGCAGCGCGGGUUCGAAUCCCGUAGGGGAUA
rnacentral:tRNA from 2 species